CCUACGGGAGGCAGCAGUGAGGAAUAUUGGUCAAUGGGCGGGAGCCUGAACCAGCCAAGUCGCGUGAGGGAUGACGGCCCUAUGGGUUGUAAACCUCUUUUGCCGGGGAGCAAAGUGCCGCACGUGUCCGGUUUGGAGAGUACCCGGAGAAAAAGCAUCGGCUAACUCCGUGCCAGCAGCCGCGGUAAUACGGAGGAUGCGAGCGUUGUCCGGAAUUAUUGGGCGUAAAGAGUUCGUAGGCGGCAUGUAAAGGUAGGUGGUAAAAGCGCAGGCUCAACCUGUGUAUGGCUCUUGAGACUUGCAAGCUGGAAUGCGGUAGAGGUAAAGGGAAUUCCUGGUGUAGCGGUGAAAUGCUUAGAUAUCAGGAGGAACAUCGGUGGCGUAAGCGCUUUACUGGGCCGUAAUUGACGCUGAGGAACGAAAGCCAGGGUAGCGAAUGGGAUUAGAUACCCCAGUAGUC
rnacentral:rRNA from 1 species